AGAGUGGUUGGACGGUAACCUUCAACCCAAGGUGGUGCCAGCGUACCUUAACGAGUGUGUUUGAUGUUGGCCUCGGAUCUUGCUACUUGUCGAUUAACAGAAAUGAUCUGCUUAGUUUGCGGUUCUUUUGCUGGAGUGUGCUUGUUUUAUAAUCUGGUGUGGAAACUUGCCUAUAAUCUGGUGUGGAAACUUACCCACAGAAGUAAGCAGAAGUGGUUCAGACAGAAGCGGGCCGAGCAAAUGGAAGUGCUGUGUAAUCCAGUGAAUGCCAGUCUUUGGUGUCUUUUUCUAUGGCUCCAAAUUUGUAUGUGGUAAUCUGCAGUUGUUCCAAAUUUGUUGUACUCCAGACUCGAAGGUUUCUUCAUUUAUGCUAGACUUGUAGUGACCCUCACUGAGGGCCAUGUGUUGAUGUUUGUAAAAAAGAUGUGAAUGGUCGAAUCGUUGGUACCU
rnacentral:lncRNA from 1 species